GAUGGAGCAUGUUGCAGACAGCCCAGUGUGAGGAGACCAAGUCUCCCCUUUCGCCCAUCCCGGACACUAGGGAGGGCUUUGCUCUCAAGGGAUGCCUUCUGGGUGAAGAACACAUCUCUGGAUGCUGUCAAAUUCUCAGCCUUCCUCUCUCAGCCAUCCAGUGCUCUGAUUACAGCCCAGUCCACUAGCAAAACAUCAAACGUGAAUCAACAGUAGCAACUAGAUCCAGAAGAAACUGCAAAGCUCCGCUGAUCAGCAUGAAGCAGCCAGCAGUCAGAACACCACCAGAGGAUCUUUGUUGUGUUUGUCUCUUAUGAUGAAGAUGAGAGAAGAAAGCAAGGUGACCCAAUGCCAGAGUGCUGUCAGUGAAGACCAGAUCACUGAAGUCCAACAAAGACCAGCAAGGUGAGCCAAGGCCAGAGCAUCAUCCAUGGUCUGCUGGGUUAUCCUUAUACUCACUCCAAACAUCACAUGUCCUCUCAAGCAUCCGCUCCAGCAAAACGUCACAGGCCCUGUCACCAGGCAGCUUCCAGAAAAGACCACGUGUCGCUUCUCAGCACAACGUCCUCUCAUAAGACAGUUUCCAGAAAAACAUCACAUAAUACGACUGGGUUUCCAACAAAACCAGAAAUCGCCCCCCUCUGGUGUGUGUGUGCAUGCACCAUGUUGCAUGUAUGAUGGAGGUCAGAGGAUAGCCUAUGGUUCUCUCCAUCUGCCAUGUGGACCCUCGGAUUGGAUAGAUGUCCUCAGGCUUGUCAGCAACUGUCUUUAUUUACUAAGACAUCUCGCUGGCCCUGUACAACAUAUCUUUUUGUUUGUUUAUUCUGAUUGCAAAAUUCAAAAUGGUACCCAAGGUAUUAGUUUUGUCUACACUAGAAAUGAGGUUUGAGUGAUGAAGUUUAUAUUGUACUUGAAUCAGAAGAGGAGGUCAAAUUGACCCUGUGAAAUCCACAGGGAAACCACGGGAGGCAGACGUGUUAAAGUAGUAAAGGAAAACAGUAUUGCAAUAGAUUAGUUGCUGAAGUAUACCCACCCCGAAUAGUCCUGACAGGACCAGUGAUGGCUUUAUGAGAUUCAUGACAAACCGGGUGACAUUGAUGGUGAACUUCCAGGAAAAGAGCACAGUGGGAGAGUUUGGUGCUGUUUACUUCACAAGAAAUAGCCGUGACACAGCUGUGCUGUAACAGCCAACCAGAUGUGCGACGACAGCUGAAGUUAUAGUUUAUCAUGGUCCACUACCACAACUUAUAGCCAUACAGUGACAGGUCCCUAUGGCAGAGUCUGGCCUGCAGAGGUAGGACAGUAUUGCCUGAGGCUUCUGGAGGGUGAGGCACGAUAGUUAGAGCAGUAGCCACUGGGGAGGGGGCCAUGGUUAUGGUUAAGAUGGCUAUAAUGUUGCAUAUGGAUGGAUUUGAGUAUAAAAGAUUUGGACAAGACCUCAAGUUUUGCUUUUUCAAAAAUGUCUGGUCACAAAUAUGGGGGCUACUUCGUAGAGCACUAUGGCAUACUGCAGACACAUAGAUUGUCUUACAGUGCUGCUUGGAAUAGCAUUUCUUCAUGUUUUGUUGUUGUUCUUUGUUUUGAUUUCUUUGUUUUGUUUUAUUUGUUUUAGCAGUCAACCCACCAAUACACGCUGGGAUAUUCCCAGGCAGGGCAUAUACUUAAGCACUUACCUGGGUCCUGAGUCACCAGCACUGGGGGAAAAAAAAAGACAAAAGCUGAAAAAUGUUUAGAAAAAUGCAAAACAGAUCUGUAGAGCAUUGAAUUUCACAGUCGUUGAAAAGCAGUGGUGCUGAGGAAAACCAGU